rnacentral:rRNA from 1 species
GCGCACCAGUCGAGAAUAGUCUACAAUGGACGAAAGUCUGAUAGUGCGACGCCGGUGUGUGCGAUUAAUUCCUUCGGGAUGUAAAGCACUUUUCUAUGAGAUAAAAGCUCUUUAGGUUAAUAGCUUAUUGAGACGGAUAUUAUUAUAGGAAUAAGCUCCGGCUAACUCCGUGCCAGCAGCCGCGGUAAUACGGAAGGAGCGAGCGUUGUCCGGAUUUACUAGGCGUAAAGGGCUAGUAGGCGACUAAUUAAGUUAUAUGUUAAAUCCCACGGCUCAACUGUGGUCCUGCAUGUAAUACUGGUUAGAUAGAGUACUGUAGAGGAAGGCAGAAUUCCUGGAGUAGCGGUGGAAUGCGCAGAUAUCAGAAGAAUACCAAAAGCGAAGGCAGCUUCUGGGCAGUUACUGACGCUGAAUAGCGAAGGUGUGGGUAGCGAACAGGAUUAGA